rnacentral:tRNA from 1 species
GAUUCCUUAACUUAAGAGGUUAAAGUAUACUUUUGAUAAGAGUAGGAUUAGCGUUCAAUUCGCUAAGGAAUCA